CCGCUCAAAUUAACAAAACAAGGAAGUGUGUCUCCUAACAAAUAUCUCUUGAAUUACCCAAACAAGGAAAUGUGUCUCCUUACCAAUGCCGCUUGAAUUAUCCAAACAAGGAAGUGUGUCUCCUAACAAAUAUCUCUUGAAUUACUCAAACAAGAAAAUGUGUCUCCUUAUCAAUGCCGCUUGAAUUAAACAAACAAGGAAGUGUGUCUUCUCACCAAUGUUGCUUGAAUUACCCAAACAUGAAAGUGUGUCUCCUCACAAAUGUCAAUUGAAUUUCCCAAAUAAGAAAGUGUGUCUCCUCACAAAUGCUGCUUGAAUUGCCCAAACAGGAAAGUACGUCUCCUUACAAAUGUCUCUUGAAUUACCCAAACAAGGAAGUGCAUCUCCUUAUAAAUGUCGCUUGAAUUACCAAAAUAAGAAAGUGCAUCUUCUUACAAAUGUUGCUUAAAUUGUCCAAACAAGGAAGUGUGUUCCCUUACAAAUAUUGCUUGAAUCACCCAAACAAGGAAGUACGUCUCCUUACGAAUGUUGCUUGAAUUACCAAAAUAAGGAAGUGUGUCUCCUAGAGAUAUUGGAUUAUAAGUUUUACCAUGGCUUUGAAUACCAAAUCUGUGCAACAACAUUGCCUCUUGUAUUUGUAAAAGUGAGAAUAUUAUGGCCUUUGAAGUUUACGCUUUGAAAUCCUUGAUUCGAAGGUAGCAUGCGUUCCUGUUUCAUACAAAGAAAACUUGUUAGUUUAAAACAUGGUGGCUGGUUUGUGGCUUUGGCUUUUGGCAAUUGUUCUUGCCCCCGUCACAUUUAACCUUGCUUCCAACCGUUACAUAUAUCAUUGACUUAAUGCAUCAUUGAUCCAAACUCAGAUUAUUAAGAAUGACAAUGAAACAAACACCGUAUCUUUGCUUUGCCAUGCUCUUCAGAUAAACCCUUUGACCUUUGGUAUUUCCAUGAGUUCCCAGACUUGUCUGUUAACAAAACUUUCUAUAUACCUUAUUUCAGCUCACAAUCAUGUCUCUUUCAUGUGUUGGCCUUUUGUCUUGCUUUGGGCAAUUGAAGAAGCUGGUAGUCAGUUUUAAAAUCUUUUCUCACUUAUUUUGAUAUGGACUUAACUCAAAGACAGGAGAAAAAUGACAAUAAUUUUUAUUUUAUUUGGGUAAUUGAAUCAAGAAAAUAAAAAUAAAAAUAUAACUAAAGAGAAGAAAAAAAAAACAAUGAAUGUCCCCAUUGAAAAAGAUGAAAGAAAAAUUAUCUGAAAAUAAUAGUCAACUCUAAUGAUUAUGACAUGCAUUUUGAAUUAAGCUAUCUGAUCUUUCCAUCCAAACUUUCUACCAAUUGUUGUUGAGUUAAUGGACUUGAAACUAAGUUGUUUCCUUAGGUCAAUUGCAUUUAAGACCUCAUUCAGCUAGUGACACCUUGAAGGGCUUUCACCAACAAGCCUCUCUCAUUUUUUUUUCUCAGUUCACCAUUGUCUUAUGGUUUCUGUGAGGAUUUUUCACCAAUAGGACUCUCUUAUUUCCAUUUGUCUCAACUCACUGUCGUCUUACAGUGCCCGUGAGGGUUUUCACCGAUAAGACUCUCUCAUUGUUAUCUCUCUCAGCUUAUCAUCAUCUUACGGUGCCCGUGAGGAUUUUCACCGAUAAAACUCUCUCAUUUUUAUUUCUCUCCUGAUUCCUUAUGCUGAGAAAUACAAGUAUUUUCCAAAAUGAGUCAUCACAUCCUUUGCAUGCUUAGCCUUAACAUUCUCAAAGAUUGAUCUGAAGGUCUUUCUUUGGUUGUAACUUGGCUUUUGGAUAAGGUUAGAAAGAAAGGAUGACAUGAAGCCCAAACGACACUUGAAGUAGGAUGGGACUUACAACUUUUGGAAUCGACUCAAACAACGAGGAUUAACUCAUGCCCCAGUUUCUUUUGGAUAGGUGACUCUAAAUUUUUUAUUUGGUUAGACCGAUCCCAGAGUAGGGCAGCCUAUGUAUUUCACCCCCGAGAGAGGAGAAUCAGGUCACGCAUAGUUCUGGUGGUUUUUUUUGCUUAAUUCUAAUUUCUUUUCUUUUGACCUUUUUUCUUUGUGAUUUUCCUGACUCUAAUUUCCUGACACUCUUUUCUUCCUUCGUGGACACAUUUUUCUCUCUUUUUUUUUUGAAACUUUCUAACUUUAUUCUCUUACUCGAUACCUUUCUUUUGAGCUUUGCUGACUCUAUCUUGAUUUCAAAAGAGGGGUAUGAAAGAAAAUAGGACUAAAGCUCAAAUGGGGUAGACAAAGGAUGACAUAAUAUUUGGAUAACAGAAUGAAAUGCCUUCGUCAUAUCAAUCCUUGAAAAUGCCAGUACAUAACAUGCAAUUUGAAAGUUGGAGAUGAAGAUCAUGUGUGACAUCUUUUACAACAUUAACUUUGACUGAGUCUGUGCGUCGCUUCUUCUUCUGUGCUUUUCUAGCAUACAACUCCAACUUUGUUGUACAUUCCUUAUAUUGAAUGACUCAUGAUUUUGUGGAGCUGAUUUUCUUUCCGUCCCUCUUGAUAUAGGAUCACGCAUCUACUGUUUGACCUAAUUGAGGCACGCCUUACAAUUGAUGAUCGAGUUAUUCUUGUGAUUCUCAAAAUAAAUGGCCUUAAUUUUCAAAGAAGGCUUGAACUUGUCACUAAAUUUCUGAGCACUCUAUAUAUUUUCUCAGAUGCUCUCUUUUUCUAACUUUAAACCUCGGAUUCAAUGUUAAUGCUUAAACUAGAUUUUAAGAUCUGGCUGAAAAUUCCGUUAGCAUGUUAUAUCACUAGAGUCAACAUAAAAUGUACUAUGAAAAGAAAACAAAAAAAACAUAUUUAAAACACAAAGGAAAAAGGGACACUCUAUUUAAAUAAAAUGAAAGAUAGAAGGGUUUGAAUAUAAUGACAAAUGGACAAAACAAGAUAGAUCCCGAACUACAACCCUGAAAUAAUUCGGAUAACAGAAAAUAAAACAAAAUAAACUACCAGACCUCUUUCUAAAAGGGAGAGGGGUGACUUCUCAAUCGCUCAGCCUGACAUCCUAACCACUGGUUUGCAUAUUAGCAUGACUAGAACUUCCACAACGAUCAGACACAUUCCCUUCAACAAUUAAGUUUUGGGUCCUCAUGUUUAACUCAUUGCUUCCCAAAUUUCAACAUCUCAAAGAUUGGAGGAAGGUUAGCACUUGAAGGCAUGCCUCAGUCUUUGUAUGAAACAUCUUCUUUACCCGCAAGCCCUAGAGAAUUUUUCAUAGCAUUUUCUGCACUCUUUAUUUUUCCAACCAUUUUCUCUGACUCUUCUGGCAUACUGGACUUCUUGUUAAGAAAUUUUGAUAGUCCAGUUAACUUAAAAGCAGGCUCAGGAGUAUAACAAUGAUCACCAAGAAUAUUGAAUAUAGGUUCACUAGCAGCAUAGGGACGCACAACCGUUGGGCGAGCCAGUUUGGAAGUCCCAGUAGAGGAUUGAGAAACAAGAUCACAGACAACAUGCGAUGUUAUGAAUGUAGCAGGCUUAUCUGAGGAGCUAGAGAAAAAGUGGUGGGAGUAUUGAGAUGCUUUUGGCUUGGAAUGAAUUCUGAGUCAUGUUGCGGUGCAUCAACAAUAGUAGAAAACUACGUUCUGAUUUUGGUGGAAAACUCGAGGUAUUUGUAGGAUCAAUAAAGGAAAAUGGAGGAGGAGGCAACCCACUGGCCCAAACUCGAUGCAUUUCUGUCAUUUGUUGUCUUAGCCUCCUAAUCUCUUGCUUCAAACUCUCAUUUUCCUGAUUCUUUAUUUUAUCCAUGAUGUCACUCUCUAUAUCUUUGUUGGACACAACUAACAGUUUGGAUUUGGUGUGAUGUGAAGGACCAGCCAGAAUGCCACAAACCAACCACCUUAAACUGACUUAACAAAAAAAACAACAAAUGUGUUAGAGUUCAACACUUUUUCAAAACCUCUUUUUCAUUUUUUUUUUGAAAAGAUCACCGAACCCAAGAAGAGAGCCUAUGUAUAUCACUCCCGAGAUAGGAGAAUCAGGUGUGCGUUGUUCGUGAAGUCUUGCCAAAAUGGCCAACUAAACUAUUUUUCCUUUAUUUUUUUUUCUUGAAACUUUAAAAAGAAAAGGAAAUAACAAAUUGUCAAAAGAAUUGACGAAAAUCUUUUUGUAUUUUUCAAGUUUAAACUCCCUAUACAAAAUGAAACCUAUGAUUACCAAAGAAAAAUCUUUUUGAGUUUUCGAUUUUGAAUUUCAUAUGAAAAUGAAACUUGAACCUAUUAAAGGAAAAAUCUUUCUUAAAGUUUUCUUUUAAAGAUGUAUAUGAAACACCUACUCUAAUAAAGAGUGAAGAAAAUCUUUCUUUUUUUUUAAUUUUUCAAAUAAGAUCCCCGAACCAACAAUAGACUGCCUACGUAUCUCACUCCCGAGAGAGGAGAAUCAGGGGUGCAUAGUUCGUCCAGAUUGGACAAAUAAGGAUUAAAGAAUUAACUAAACCUUGACUUGAGAGACACAACUACAACGACGAAAAUAAAAUCUUUUUGGGGAUUUUCACUUUGACACUCCACAUAAAACUGACACCAACAACUAUGAAAGAAAAAAUCUUUUUGAUAUUUUCAUUACAUGAAAUGUACAAAACUUCUACUACCUUUUUUUUGAAUUUUUCUUUUAUAAAAAGCUCCUAAAAAAAUCGUUUUGAAGUUUUCGAAUUGUGAAUGCUUGCUAAAUGAAACAAAAGGAAAAUCUUUUUGAUGUUUUCAUAGGCUAGCGAGGAAGGAGGCGAAGUCAGCAGUCACGGCAGCUAAGACGGCCGCUUUUGAGAGCUUGUAUGUAGGGUUACAGGAGAAAGGAGGGGAGAAAAAGUUGUUUAGACUCGCUAAGGCUAGGGAGAGGAAGGGUCGUGACCUCGAUCAGGUGAGGUGCAUUAAGGGGAAGGACGGUAGAGUGUUGGUGGAGGACGGCCACAUUAAGAAGAGAUGGCAAUCGUAUUUUCAUAGGCUCUUGAAUGACGAAGGGGAUAGAGCUAUUGUGUGGAUUUUAGCUAUUGUAGACGUUUUAAGGUAGACGAGGUUAGACAGGCAGUCCGCAGGAUGCGAAGGGGUAGGGCGACGGGGCCGGAUGAGAUACCGGUGGAGUUUUGGAAGUUCGUUGGAGAGGCUGGUGUAAGGUGGUUGACUGCAUUGUUCAAUGAAAUUUUCAGGACGGCAAAGAUGCCCGAGGCGUGGAGGUGGAGUUCCAUGGUCCCUCUCUAUAAGAAUAAGGGGGACAUUCAGAGUUGCAAUAACUAUAGGGGGAUUAAGUUAUUGAGUCACUCUAUGAAGAUCUGGGAGAGAGUAGUCGAGGUGAGGCUGAGACGGAUAGUGUCUAUUUCGGAAAACCAGUUCGGAUUUAUGCCCGGCCGCUCGACGACGGAGGCAAUUCACCUGGUACGGAGGUUGGUGGAACAGUAUAGGGAGAGGAAGAAGGAUCUGCACAUGGUGUUCAUCGACCUGGAAAAGGCGUACGACAAAGUCCCAGGGAAGUGCUUUGGAGAUGCUUGGAGGUGAGUGGAGUACCGCAGGCAUAUAUCAGAGUAAUUAAGGAUAUGUAUGAGGGAGCGAAAACCCAGGUGAGGACGGCGGGAGGAGACUCAGAGCAUUUCACUGUCCUGACAGGAUUGCACCAGGGAUCUACUCUUAGUCCCUUUUUGUUUGCGUUAGUAAUGGAUGUGUUGACGCGGCGUAUCCAAGGGGAGGUGCCGUGGUGUAUGCUUUUUGCAGACGAUGUAGUCCUGAUAGAUGAGACUCGAGGGGGUGUGAAUGACAAAUUAGAGUUGUGGAGGCAAACUCUGGAGUCUAAAGGGUUCAGGGUGAGCAGAACCAAGACAGAGUAUGUGGAAUGUAAGUUUAAUGACGUGAGGCGGGAGAAUGAGGUAGUAGUGAGGCUAGAAGCACAGGAGGUAGGGAAGAGGGAUAAGUUCAAGUAUCUCGGGUCCGUGAUCCAGAGUAACGGUGAGAUUGACGAGGAUGUCUCGCACCGUAUUGGGGCGGGAUGGAUGAAGUGGAAACUCGCAUCGGGGGUGCUGUGUGAUAAGAAGGUGCCGCCCAAGCUUAAAGGCAAAUUCUAUAGGGUGGUAGUCCGUCCGGCCUUGCUGUAUGGAGCGGAGUGUUGGCCAGUUAAGAACUCCCACAUCCAAAAAAUGAAGGUGGCAGAAAUGCGGAUGUUGCGCUGGAUGUGUGGACUGACCCGAGGGGAUAGAGUUCGGAAUGAGACUAUCCGGGAGAAGGUUGGUGUGACUUCAGUGGAGUGUAAGAUGCGGGAAGCACGAUUGAGAUGGUUCGGACACGUGAAGAGGAGGGGCACGGAUGCCCCGGUCCGUAGGUGUGAGAGGCUAGCGUUGGAUGGUUUUAGACGGGGUAGGGGUAGACCGAAGAAGUACUGGGGUGAGGUGAUUAGGCGGGACAUGGAACAGUUACAGCUCACCGAGGACAUGACCCUAGCAUGUUUUAUUACGAAUCUGUGUGCUUUCCUCUGCUUUCCUCUGUUUUAUAUUACUUAUGGGUGCCGUAUUUAUGUUAUGUAAUCGGCUUCUAUGCUUUACUAUGUGUUUGUGUGGUAUCUCGUGCCUUGAGCCGGGGGUCUAUCGGAAACAACCUUUCUACUUCAUCAGAGGUAGAGGUAUGGACUGCAUACAUCUUACCCCCCAGACCCCACUAGGUGGGAAUACACUGGGUUUGUUGUUGUUGUUGUUGUUGUUAUUUUUGAAAAAUAAGUGCAAAAAGUAAAAAAAAGUCUUUUUUUUUUUAAUUUUUGAAUCGUGGAAAACAAAAGUCAUAAAGAACUCUAAAAACUACAAAACUCUCUUUUUUUCUUUUCGACUCACUUUUCACUUUUUUUUUAAUAUUUUUUUCUCAACAUUUCUUGCCUAUGCACUUUACUUCUAACACAUGUUUUCUCCAAAUCAGUCCAUCAAAUGACCAUGUUACCCUCCAAGAUGCAACAUUUAGCACAUAGGGAUGAUUUAGAGGUGAGUGUCCUACAAAGGACCACAUGGGUCCCGCUAGGUCUCAAUAUGAUGUGGAUAAGCAUGACCUAAAGGCUGACCUACGCUAGGGUUUACUAACAAGGUUGUUCAGGGGGGCAUAUAGUCGAUAGUGGCUGCUUUACUUUCCACCCACUCCAUACGUCCGACGGCUCCCUCUCCUAAAAUAAGGGUGACUCAACUAGAGUUUGUAUACACGACGUGCACUCCAGGACUUGUUGCAGAAAUAAUUGAGACUCAACUAGAGUUUGUAUACACGACGUGCACUCCAGGACUUGUUGCAGAAAUAAUUGACUCGGGUUAAGCACAUGAUGCCAGAUAUAAAACGGUAACAUAUAGGAGAAAAAAUGUAAACACGUAGCAUGUAAGCACUCAACAAUGAUAAAAUAAACACAAACAGUAAUACAAACAAUGUUUAUACACUCAUAAUGUCAAACUAAGCCGAUACAACUCCAAAAAUAAACUCGAAUUCUGAAAAACUCCCCAGCAGAGUCGCCAGAGCUGUUACACCCCUUUUUAACUCCAAAAAAGAUUAUUUUUAUGGGUUUCAAAAGGGUUUUAUUUAUUAAAUUGACAAAAAUGAGGAUUUGUUUCGAAAAAGGUUAAUUUAUAUUUUUUAUUCAGAGUCGCCACUUGACAUAAUCCGGUGUGCCAAGACACCUUUGGAGAAUCCUUUUCGAAAUGAUUUGACUCUUUAAAAAAUCGGUUUGUGAACAAAGAUUCCGACUAAGGAAUUCUGUUGACCGAGGGGGAUGGUGUUAGGCAUCCCUCGAUCUCAUGGUUCGACCACGGUCGCUUGGUGGAGCAUAUCAGCUAAUUUGACAUUACAAAUGUACAAACCACACAAAAACACACAAACAAUCAAUCAAACACAUGAAACAAAACAAAUCCAAAAUAUAGUGUUCAGUCCAAUUAUACAGUUCAAAAUAAAAAAUGCGAAAAAAUAAAUCCUAUUCUAACCUACACUAAUCCUGAACUAUGCUCCAGUGCUUUACCCGAUGCCUCGGGCCUUCAUCACGGGCGUCCUUCGAGUACAAAAUACUGUGGGUUAUUCCCCAACAAAUAAACAAAAAUACCUCGGGGCAUUUUCCGGCCAAAUAAUACAUUUGAUCCAAAAGCAAUAAAAUCAAGCCAUUCAACACAUGUUUCGAGCAUUCAACAUUCCACAAUUCCUAAAAUUUGCCAACCCGAACCUACUAUUUGCCUACCCAACUCGACCUAUCAUGGAACUAUCACGAUCGACGACGUCAAUGAAUCAAAACAACAAAAAAAUUAAAAUUAAUCCUAAUUCACUUUAGCAAUUUUUCAAUUCCGCACCAAAUUCAUUCUCAACCAAUGAUUAACACAUGCAUCGAUUAUCAAUUCAUUUUUCAACAUUCAAAUCCAACAUCAACCAAUACACAAUCAAGAUUCAAACAUAACAACACAUAAAUCAUUCACGAUUACGUAAAAAUUAAAAAAAGAAAAGAUAGAAUUAGACCUCAGUGCUUUCAAAAAUCAAUGUAUUAUUUCGAUCAACCCGGUAGAAUCCGCGUCCGAAAUCCUCGAACAAAACCCCCAAUCACGAUCAAGAAUCCAACUCGGUAUCAAGAAAGUGAAGCCCAAAAUUGAUUACGGUGAAUUGAUCAGGACGAAACAAAAUCUAAAUCCCAAAAUCAGUUCGAAGACAGAUGAGCUAAGACCAAAAUUGCAACAGACUAAAUCGAACCCGUUAAAAUUCUCAGCAAACGAACUCACAACUUGAACAAAAAAAAACCCCAAAACCCGAACUAACCCGAACAAUCCCACUAAACCAUUUCAAUUUUUAUCAUUUUUCGACGAAAAUUGGUCAGAAUAAACUGAAACGGCUCAAAUUUUUAUGGAUUAGAUGGAUGACUUACCUUUCGACGAGAUUCGGACGAAAAACCGGGAUCGGGACUGACUUCUUGAUGUGAGUAUGGUUGGAACGAGAUUAGCGGAGCUUUCUCGGUGGCGAUUCUAGUGAGUCACCGGCGAGAACUUCGCCGGAAGGCAGUCCAACGGCCUCUAUGUCUCUCUCUCGAUCUCUCUGGCUCGCUCAAAUCUCUCUUACCUUCAACGAUUUCUCACUGUUUCUCUUUUAACUCUCUAUGCCUCUCUCCAUCUCUCACUCUCACUCUCCUCUCUUCUCCUUACCGUGUGUAUUUUCUGAGUUUUCAGUGAGCUGGUGAAAAUGCUAUGCCAGUGUAAUUGGGGAUUUUGUGGUGAUUAGUGAAUAAGAAAAGGAAAAAAAAUGUGCGAUGUGUUCUAUGUUGAGAAAAAAAAGAAUCCUGUGGUGCGUAUGUUCUGUGUAUAUGGAUUGGUCAAGAAGAAAAGAAAAUCUCCUGUACCUAUGUGUUUUUGGAAAAAUGGAAAAGAAGACCAAAGAGAAAGGAAAAAAAGGUCUCCCCUAAUCUAUUCCAGUGAAUGGAAAUUAUAUCGAUGGAAUGUGGGGUCCAUGAGUGAGGUGUCUAUUUUGAUUGAGUAGGUUAUUAGGAUAAGGUGUAAAGUUGGUUAGAAUAGAAAUAAAACAAGAUAAAGUAUGUUAGGGAUUAUGUUAAGGGUUGUUAUUUUUUUUUUUUUUGUGAGGUAUAAUUACAUGGAUAAGGGUGUACAAUAAAGUGAGG
rnacentral:lncRNA from 1 species